AGUGAACGCUGGCGGCGUGCCUAACACAUGCAAGUUGAACGAUGAUGGAUGAGCUUGCUCAUCCUGAUUAGUGGCGCACGGGUGAGUAUACCAUAGAUAAUGUACCCCUUAGUUCGGGAUAGCCACUGGAAACGGUGAUUAAUACCGGAUACUCCUUCUUGCCAUAAGGUAAGUCGGGAAAGUUUUUUCGCUAAGGGAUCAGUCUAUGUCCUAUCAGGUAGUUGGUGAGGUAACGGCUCACCAAGCCUAUGACGGGUAUCUGGUUUGAGAGGAUGAUCAGACACACUGGAACUGGGACACGGUCCAGACUCCUACGGGAGGCAGCAGUGAGGAAUAUUGCACAAUGGAGGAAACUCUGGUGCAGCAACGCCGCGUGGAGGAUGACGCAUUUCGGUGUGUAAACUCCUUUUAAGAGGGAAGAUUAUGACGGUACCUCUUGAAUAAGCACCGGCUAACUCCGUGCCAGCCGCCGCAGUAACAC
rnacentral:rRNA from 1 species